GGGUCUAUAGCUCAACGGCAGAGCAGGCGGCUCAUAACCGCUCGGUUGUAGGUUCGAAUCCUACUGGACCCA
rnacentral:tRNA from 1 species